rnacentral:lncRNA from 1 species
GUCGUGACGAUCGGCUGUUGUGAACAAUGGUGGCGUAGGAUUGCAUCCAGACCCAUCCGCCAUCCCUGGUCAAGAAUCUGUAAUAUUUCGUUGUCACUUGACCCUUGAACAGAACUAGACAACAACAAAAAAAGAGACAACGGGAACUGCGAAGAUGACCUAAAACAAGCGAAGGCGGAUCGAAUUGUCUUCAUGUCCGGUCGGGAUGGAGCAGUUAGACGGACUAUAACAUCUAUCGAAAGGGCGGAAAACAUUUGAGCACAACACUUUGUUCGGGGAGGGGCCGUCAUUGUCGGCAAGAAAAACGAAAAACAGCACACAACCACCCAUGAAACGUGCAUUCGUGCUGUUCCCGUUCGUCCGUGUCUUUAGUCGUCAACUUGCAUUUUCCGACCUCCCAGA